rnacentral:piRNA from 1 species
UAGAAUCUUUGAUGCUGGAGAAAAGUGUC